CGCCCGCGCCCGCCCCCGCGCCGCACCCCGCGCACCACCCCGGCCACCACCACCCGCACUACAUGGCGCAGUACUCCUGGUACCAGGCCGCCGAGCCCAGCCCGCAGGGGCUCCUCACGGUGUGGCCUGCUGUUUAACGGUGACACCGCGGGAACGUAGCAGCAGCAGCAGCAGCAGCAGCAGCAGCAGUUUCGAGCCGGCCGGAGUGGGCGCCCCAGUUACCGUCCCUAGAGCAGCGCCAGCCGCCGUUUAAGUUCAACUCAUCAGUUCUCGUGUUACGUGCUCUUGGAUCUUCUCUUACCUAUCGGUGACAAGCGAGUCGCAAGCCUGCUGUAGAAUAAGAAACACUGGUGUGUAAAUGUUCAAUUUUUUUUUUUAGUGAAUGUUACUUUCGUUUCGGAAGACAAUCGUCGUGUUUGCUCUAUUAUUGUGUGCGUAAAAGAGGAUGAAGUGUUUUUCUAGAAGUCCUCGAACAGUGCCGUGGGAGAAAUGUGAACUGAAAUGUAACCGACACACUUUCGGCUGUUCCGCAUCGACUACUGGUUAACUCAUCGCUCUUCGGAGGAUGGUUGGCUGAAUCUAACAAUCUCAGCACAAACAGUUUUGUGUGAGGACUUCUCCACACUGAUGUGAUUAGAUUUCAGACAAAGGUUCCACGUUACUCUGCUUACGAAACAGUGAUGUCUGAGAAGCACUAUGCAACGCAUUUUCAAGCUAUGACUGUACGUAUUAUGUCGUGCCCGUCUGGGUACGCCAAUAACAACAAUAAAAAGUAACGGAGUACAAAGAAUCAAAGAAAUCUGGCAUUGAAAAUAUUGAAAAAUGAGUGUUAUUUUGGAAGUUUUAUUCGUAACUUGUAGACGGAAUUUGUAAUGUACGAGAAAAUGACACUGUUUCGCUACGGCAUGGUCGUUAAGCUGAAAAAAAUACGUAACACAGCGUCAAUUGAGCCGUAAAACACGAACACCUAAAAUGAACUACAAAUAAACAACGAUAUUUUGUUCAGGAACUAUGACGUAAGUAGUUAAUCGUUCGUUUAGGAACACUGCCGUCAUAAAGAGGAGGACGCUGCUUCCGUAGUGAAGUCUCGUUUAGAAAUUUCGCUGUCAAAACAUAACACUAGAAAAUCGCGAGUGUAUUGUGUAUAGGAUCUUUGAUUAGUGACAUAAGAUGUGAAUUAAUUAAGCAUGAACAUGACAUCUUAAAAAUAAUUUUCUGUGAAUUUGUAACGUGUAAACAUUUUGUAAACCAGUAUUAGGUGAAAGUUGUUCAGUCGAAAUUUGCUUGUUACAUAAAAAGAAAGAUUUGUACUGAGUACGUAGACGAAGCAAUGAACUGUGUGUUAACUGCAGAUGUGUUGGAUUCCCAGUGGCUUCUGCAGAUAAAGGGUGAUAUUUGCACUUUUCAAAAAGUUGAUAGUAAUCACAUACUAGACCAAAACUAAUACUCGCAUAACCUGUCGUUCGCUUGCUACUUCCUUAAAAAGUGAACGUGUUAAAAAACUAGCGCUAUUAUCAGUUGGUUUAAAACAUGUUUUUCCUAUGUUUCAGGCGUUUGAAUUAAUAUUCUACGUCGAAGCACAACCAUCUUAACCGAAUUUACUUGUAGCUAACGUAUUUCCUAUGACACCUCUCUUAGGAAAAUGCUUCUUCACGUUUACUUCGUUCUCCGAUAUUGAGUAAGAAAAAUUCAUGCGUGGUACUUGGAGAACUUACAAUUCGUUUUAUGAGAGCAAUGAUGCUUUUAUUAACGGUUUAUUUCCAAACCAGUGACAUAAGUAAGGCCUAUGUCGUCUGCAAUGCACCUGAAACUUAGAUGGUUUCCUUGGAGAAUUCAUCCGUUGUAAUUAACAUGUCUGAAACAGUUCUUCUCUCUUCACUAGUACUCAGUACAAAAAAAAUUAGAUCUACCGCUAGAGGACUCGUCAGUAUGUGUAGACACGUGUAUAGUGAGCUAUCCUCGUACUGCAUUUAGUUACAUAAAUUAUUGUUUGUGCUGUUGUGAUCGAUGUUUACGUAUUUGAUUCCAGCGAACGCUGUAUGAAGGAUAAGUUCAUCUAUUAUGUAAGGUGUACAAAAUUUAUUAUAAGAGGAAUAAUGUCACAUAUAUAUUUCUAAGAUAUAGAGAAUUACCAAACAGCAGUGUGAGAUCUGCUUUUGUAAUGAGCUCUUGGUCUGAUGCCAUUCAAGGCUAUAUUAGAAUUUUAUUUUGCUCUAAACAGGGUACGAAAUGAAAAUAAAGCUAUCGAAUACCAUCAAUAAAAAGCUUGUUUUGUCACUAAUGCGCGGUGAUACUGGCAGACAAAGAGACUGUAACAGUGAAGUUUGGCUUUUGCUGUGUCUUGUUGGUUUCAGUAAGCUAUUUGGUUGCAGUCCAUUCAGUUUUGUAACGAGUAUUGAAACUAAUUGGUCAACUUCGGCAACCUUAUAAAAUCUAACACAAACCGCGAUCAAAGUAGAUUACGUAAUUUCUGAUUGCUCAAAUAAUUCAGAUAUUUAGUGGCACAAGAAGACAAACUUUUUAUGCUGUCACGUGGUAUCAGUUAUUAGACAUUACUCACGCUUUUAUUUUCCUUUUUAGUAAUGAAACAUCAAAUUAAUUAACACCUAAUGGUUUGUAUGAACAUGUUAAUUUAUGUGUUGUUGAAAGAUAUACAUAAAAUAGAAAAAGAAAUAAAACCAGCGAAACGUAUUUUCACAUCAAAGUUUUUUGAUUCGCUUCCUUCGAAUAUCAUAAUCGAUGUUUUGUAGAAAUACGUAAUACAUAAUUCACGGAAACCUUCACUUUUGUACGCAAAGAAACAACAUUCGUGCAUAUAAGAAACAGUUUAUGAAAUGUAAUCAAAAAUUGCAGCGUAAGAAAGGAAAUGAGAAUUACGUACUACUAAGUAUCAGCAGACGAAAUUUAUGUGAAAUAGCUGUAAUGUGUAAACCCGAUAAAGAAAUAUGAUGUGGUCUCUGUAUGUAAAAUACAUAACGAUUUCAACGGA